rnacentral:rRNA from 1 species
UACGUAGGGUGCUAGCGUUGUCCGGAUUUAUUGGGCGUAAAGGGCUCGUAGGCGGCGUGUCGCGUCGGGGAGUGAAAGCCCGCUGCUUAACGGCGGGUUGGCUUCCGGUACGGGCAUCGCUGGAGUGCGGCAGGGGAGACUGGAAUUCCUGGUGUAGCGGUGGAAUGCGCAGAUAUCAGGAGGAACACCGGUGGCGAAGGCGGGUCUCUGGGCUGUAACUGACGCUGAGGAGCGAAAGCAUGGGGAGCGAACAGG